UGUGCUAAGGUAGCAUAAUCACUUGUCUUCUAAUUAGAGGCUGGAAUGAAUGGUAUGAUGAGAGAAGAGCUUUCUUAAUUAAAUUUAAAGAACUUAUCUUGGAAGUUAAAAGACUUCCAAAAUUUAGGGGGACGACAAGACCCUAUAAAACUUUAUCCCUUUUUCAACUUAAGCUUAAGUGAAACCUUUUGAAUAAGAGAUUCUGCUGGGGCGGCAAACUUUUAAACCUAACACAAUUUAAACUAACUGUCCAAAGAUUUUUACGUGCCUUUGUAAAGAACAAGAACAAGUUACUUUAGGGAUAACAGCGUUAUACCUUUUCAGAGCCCCUAUCGCCAAAGGUGUUUACGACCUCGAUGUUGAAUUGAAAUACCUAUUUUAAGCAG
rnacentral:rRNA from 1 species